rnacentral:rRNA from 1 species
GACGAACGCUGGCGGCGUGCCUAAUACAUGCAAGUCGAACGGUUUAGUUCCAAGAGGCUUGCCUUUUGGAACUAGACAGUGGCGGACGGGUGAGUAACACGUAGGCAACCUACCUGUCAAACCGGGAUAACCUCGGGAAACCGAAGCUAAACCCGGAUAAGCUCCUUUUUCGCAUGAAGGGGGAGUGAAAAGGUGCGACCUGAUGACAGAUGGGCCUGCGGCGCAUUAGCUAGUAGGUAGGGUAACGGCCUACCUAGGCGAUGAUGCGUAGCCGACCUGAGAGGGCGUACGGCCACACUGGGACUGAGAUACGGCCCAGACUCCUACGGGAGGCAGCAGUAGGGAAUCUUCGGCAAUGGGCGAAAGCCUGACCGAGCAACGCCGCGUGAGUGAGGAAGGCCUUCGGGUUGUAAAACUCUGUUGUUUGGGAAGAAGGGAAAGGGUAGGACCCUUAGGUGACGGUACCAAACGAGAAAACCCCGGCUAACUACGUG